rnacentral:lncRNA from 1 species
ACAGAGGGGACCGUACAGAAGCCGAAAGGCCUUCUACUGUGCUAGUGGAGGCCCGGGCUGCCCGCCUAGUCUCCGCCCGCCCGCCGUCCCCGCCCCGCCACCCGCCGCCCGCUCACCUUCGUGAUGGAAGCUGCGCACGGUGUUGGCGCGGCUGGCUGCCCUCUCCAGCCGGUGGUCUGGGGCGGGCGCUCCUGGCUGGCCUGAGUGCCUGCGGUACAGAUCUAGCAUAUAGGGGGGCACCACGACGUCCUUGCUGGGGGUGGGUCUCUGCUUCAGGCCAAACAUGCUGAGCAGCCUCAACUCAAAUUCGCUGAGGACGUCUUCCGAAGGCCGGGACAAGGGUCGGCUGGAUGCCGCGGCGAACUUCUUGCGGCCCAGCUCUGGAAUGAGGCCGGCCGCGCCGCCCAGGAGGACCUGGGGAAGCAGCAACACUAGAAGACAGCGGGUCCCGGCCACCAUGGUCGACCUGCGGACAGGGCCGACGUGAGUCACCCACGUUCCCCGCCCAGUCCUCCGCCCGCCCCCGCGGCCUCGGCUCCCAUAGAGCUCGCUGGCCUUCUCCAGGAUGCCCUCCUGGCAUGUCAUAUUCGCGGGCUACAGCCUGGAUGAUCAAGAGGAUGGAGGACCCCCAAGUCCCAGCCGGACUUCUUACUUGGGGCUUGGUCUUAACUCCCAAUUAAAAAGAGCAUUGACCG